rnacentral:lncRNA from 10 species
UGAAGCAACAACCUAGAUGGAUGUACAGCCAUCAAGAGGAUCUUAAAGUGUGGUCUUUAGUGGAAAAAAAGGCUGGAGUGCAAUGGCAUGGUAUCGGCUCACUGCAACCUCUGUCUCCUGGGUUCAAGCGAUUUUUCUGCCUCAGCCUCCCAAGUAGCUGGGAUUACAGGCAUGCGUCAUCAUACCUAGCUAAUUUGUCCCAUAGAAUCUCAUCUUCUGGAUUUUGUGGCUAUUUUUUCAUGGUGUUGAUUCAUUCAUAAGGUAAAAUUUAUAUACAGUGAAAUGCAUCUUAUGGGUACAAUUCAAUGAGUUUUGAAAAGUGUGUACAUCCAUGUAACCACCACCCAGAUUAAGACACAGAACAUUCCCGUCACCUCAGAAUGUUUCCCGGUGCCUUCUUCCUACCCCUCAUACAGUAACAUUGUAAUAAUUUCUAUUGCCACAUAUAUGUUUACCUGUUCUGAAACUUCACAGAAAUGGAAUUAUAUAUUAUGUAUUUGUUUGUUACUGGCUUUUUAUCAUUUAAUAUUUUUUUAUUCAUCCAUACCCACUGCAUGUGUCAGUAUUUCAUUCCUUCUUGUUAUUGUGUAGUAUACAAAUAUAUAAAUAUAUCACAAUUUAUUUUUGCAA